rnacentral:rRNA from 1 species
GACGAACGCUGGCGGCGUGCUUAACACAUGCAAGUCGAGCGGAAAGGCCCUUCGGGGUACUCGAGCGGCGAACGGGUGAGUAACACGUGAGUAACCUGCCCCAGACUUUGGGAUAACCCUCGGAAACGGGGGCUAAUACCGGAUACGACACAGCUUCGCAUGGGGUCUGUGUGGAAAGUUUUUCGGUUUGGGAUGGGCUCGCGGCCUAUCAGCUUGUUGGUGGGGUGAUGGCCUACCAAGGCGACGACGGGUAGCCGGCCUGAGAGGGCGACCGGCCACACUGGGACUGAGACACGGCCCAGACUCCUACGGGAGGCAGCAGUGGGGAAUAUUGCACAAUGGGCGGAAGCCUGAUACAGCGACGCCGCGUGAGGGAUGACGGCCUUCGGGUUGUAAACCUCUUUCAGCAGGGACGAAGCGUAAGUGACGGUACCUGCAGAAGAAGCGCCGGCCAACUACGUG